rnacentral:tRNA from 1 species
AGCCUUGCAGUGUGGUCACGUUAGAUUGCAAAUCUAAAGAUGUAGGCUAAAGGCCUACCGGGGCUU